ACAGAUGAACACGAAAAAGUUCUAGAACAACAUCAGAGCGUAGAAUUGUAUAACGAUGAAACGUUGAGGCUUUUUGUUCGUUGCUGAACGUUUUGAUGAACGACUUGGAAAACACUUGCCGUUUUAGUUAUAAAUGUAUUUUCCUUCUCUUUUCCCAGAAAAAAGGCAUCAAAUGCUCGGAAAGGACUAAGGGGUUCAAAAAAUUCUCCUAUGGAUCUCAUGUAUUUUUGUUUAAAACUAUCUAUUAAAAAUAAUUCGAAAAUAGGGGAAAAAUACCAAGAAACCGAAGAAUUUCGACUUAUUUACGAACCCAACCCAGCUUAUUAACCCUAAAUUCCCAAUCUCAUCUCUCCCCACUCACGAUUUCAAUCUCCCCUCUCCCAUAACCACCACGAUCUCGUCGGACCAUCACUCUAUACCUCAUCUCGAACCCCUAAUCAAACUCAGAUUCAAGCACAAUCAUCUCAAAACAACUAUCCCCAUCUCCAAUUUCAUGUGCGCAAUGUCGCCAAAAAGUCGGCUCGUAUGCGCAAUUUAGUUUAAAUAGUGUAACUGGUACAACUAAGUGAUUUUGUGUUGUAUAACUUGGUUAUUUAUUCAGUGUAUUUUAUUUGUGUUUUUCAGGUUGAGGGGGAUGAUAUGACCGUAGAAGUUGACAGACCUGCUGUUUUUUUCUUCAAACCGAGCGACUAUGGAAAGGGUUGCAAGCUCUCCUCAAGGUGCCACCACAGUUCAAGCAUAUAUUUCACAUGGAUUGUUGCGCAACAAGAAAGGUGAUGGGAUUGUGGAUGUUGCUACUUCGUACUAUGCAUAUAGGAAAGGGUCGACAAGCUUGGUUUGGGGUAAACGGUGUUCCAAUUAGAUCCUCCAUCAGUGAACAUAGCCUCCUCUCUGGUUUAUACUGCCACGCAUACCCAAAAAACUAUCCGAGCAUAGGGAGAAUGAAAUUUGCGAGAAAGCAUUUUAAAAUGAAGAACACAAAGAAUGGGAAGGAAAAGGGUUUGCAAGUGACACAAGCGGAUGUCAAAGAGAAACUUCAGAAGAUGAAGGCUGAUGAUAGUGGUGAGCGUCUGAAGAUGGCGGUUCUUUACUUUUUGGCCAGAGUUGUAAGAGGAAGGUCAAAAGAAGGAUACUUCAUUGAGCAUUUCAUUCUCCCAGCAGUAGAUGAUCUGGAUUUUUUCACCAAGUUUCCAUGGGGCCGUUACACAUUUGAUGAUUGCAUGAAGGAGAUUUUUCACUUGAGGGAUCAUGUUCGUGAUGGGAUCCUGGAGAAGGCGCAAUGGGUAUUUCAUGGGUUUAUCAACCCUUUGGAGGUAUAUGAGUUGUAUUUUUCAUAAGCAUAUCUAUUAUUAUAAAAAAGAGUUUCCUCUCUCCAGGGCCUUCCACGUCGGAUGCCAGGUCAAUAAGUCGAGGUCUCACGUCGCGACACCUAUCCCUGCACACAAAACACAAUGCUUUGUUAAAUGAGUAUAUAGUCUGGGCUUUGUAUCGUGACGCGUUUGUUAGAUCAAAAAGAUUGGGCUCGACGCGUUUGUUUAAUAUUGGGCCCAAAGAAAAUGUACUCAAUAAACCUAAUCUGAUACCGCGAAAGCAAGUGUAUUCUUUUCUCUCUACUGCGUGGGACGGCGACGGUGGCGCUCGAGUUUCUUCACCGUUACCGAAUCAGAUUUCGUUAUGGUUUCUUGGUGUUUAAUCCCAUUAACUAUGACGCCCACUACGAGUUCUUCAAUGUGUGGUUUACGUCAGAGAAGCUCUGUCAAUUCGGGUAUAAAUAUGUAUGGAUUCCUCUUCUCGAAAUCAUCAUCUCCUCAUCUCUCUUCUCAUAUCUCUCUUAGAUUAUACUAAUCCACUUUUUAAUGGCUAACUCCAAGGUGUUCUUCUCCUAUUUGAAGGCCGGUAAGUGUUCAUCCGGCUAGGCUGUUGCGUUUCUGGGAGGCAAGGAAUGUGAAGCGCCCCUCCAGACUCAGACUUGGCGACUAUCGAGUUUCAGAUAAUUAUUUAAAAGAGUUUUCACCUAAUUUUGAAGAAGGCAUUCAGGUAACUUGAGCUCACACUUCUUGAUUUUGUUCUGUUUUUACUCUCUGCUAAUACAUGUUUUUUUAAAAAAUUCUUUUUAGUAGAUUGAUAGAUGAUGAGCUUGAGCAAGUUAGAGGCUUUUUAUCGAUGAAACUCUGCCGUUUAAAGAAUGGUUAAAGAUAUUGGGGGCUGUCCUCGCAUCAAGUUUUUCCAGUUUUUGUUUUACGCAUUAGACGAUGUGUUGUGAGAACAGCAAGUGAAUCACACAUUUUUUUUGUUGCAGAUACCUGGUGCAAAAGUUGGUUACAGACAAUACUGAUGCUGCCAUUUUUGUUGCAUUGGAUGGGUCAAUAACAAAGCUAAUCAAUGUUCGUGCCUCUGAGGUUUUCCCUGGUAUGGUUCUCCAAUUCGCCACAAGACAAAGCACAUGGUAACCAAGGGGAAAAAGAACUGCUAUGUUUUUCAGCAUCACGUUUUAGGAUUGUUCGUUUUAGUACAAAUGCUUUUAAGCCUAUUAUGUUCAGCUUCUGAGAAAGUGAGUUUAUUUGUUAUUUUUAUGAACCUGUCUUACUCCGCACAUUCCAUUUUAAGACAAUGUAAAAAAAUUAAUAUUA